UACGAAGGGGGCUAGCGUUGCUCGGAAUCACUGGGCGUAAAGGGUGCGUAGGCGGGUCUUUAAGUCAGGGGUGAAAUCCUGGAGCUCAACUCCAGAACUGCCUUUGAUACUGAAGAUCUUGAGUUCGGGAGAGGUGAGUGGAACUGCGAGUGUAGAGGUGAAAUUCGUAGAUAUUCGCAAGAACACCAGUGGCGAAGGCGGCUCACUGGCCCGAUACUGACGCUGAGGCACUAAAGCGUGGGGAGCAAACGGG
rnacentral:rRNA from 1 species